GAUGAACGCUAGCUACAGGCUUAACACAUGCCAGUCGAGGGGAAACGCCAUUGAAGCUUGCUUCGAUGGUCGUCGACCGGCGCACGGGUGAGUAACGCGUAUCCAACCUGCCUCUGACCAAGGGAUAACCCGUCGAAAGUCGGCCUAAUACCUUAUGCAGUCGUCGGAAGUCAUCUGAUGACGACGAAAGAUUUCAUCGGUGAGAGAUGGGGAUGCGUCUGAUUAGCUUGUUGGCGGGGUAACGGCCCACCAAGGCAACGAUCAGUAGGGGUUCUGAGAGGAAGGUCCCCCACAUUGGAACUGAGACACGGUCCAAACUCCUACGGGAGGCAGCAGUGAGGAAUAUUGGUCAAUGGGCGAGAGCCUGAACCAGCCAAGUAGCGUGCAGGAUGACGGCCCUAUGGGUUGUAAACUGCUUUUAGGCGGGGAUAAAGUGAGGGACGUGUCCUUCAUUGCAGGUACCGCAUGAAUAAGGACCGGCUAAUUCCGUG
rnacentral:rRNA from 1 species